rnacentral:rRNA from 1 species
UACGUAGGGACCUAGCGUUGUCCGGAAUCAUUGGGCGUAAAGCGCGCGUAGGCGGCCCGGUAAGUCCGUUGUAAAAGUCGAAGGCUCAACCUUCGAAAGCCGAUGGAUACUGUCGGGCUCGAGUCCGGAAGAGGCGAGUGGAAUUCCUGGUGUAGCGGUGAAAUGCGCAGAUAUCAGGAGGAACACCAAUGGCGAAAGCAGCUCGCUGGGACGUGACUGACGCUGAGACGCGAAAGCGUGGGGAGCAAACAGG